rnacentral:tRNA from 2 species
GGAUACUUGGCGCAGUGGUAGCGCAGCAGUCUUAUAAACUGUGUGUCGCCGGUUCGAUUCCGGUAGUAUCUA